rnacentral:lncRNA from 1 species
UUUCCAUAGCUACAAAAUCACACAACCCAUCAACAGUAGCUAAUUGUUCAAUACCUAAAGUCCCAUCCUUAAACUGCUCAAUGCAUCUUUGUUUCAAUUGAUCAGCAUAGAACAAACAGGUCUCAAACUCACCUCUCAGAGCAGCAGUAGUCAUCUUUGUAUAAUCCGAACGAGCAUCCUCGGUCAACCCUUCUACCAAAUACUGCAAACCGAGAGGACUCAUAGCAACCGGGGCGGCACGGGAGACACUAGCCGAAACAGCUUCAAAUAUCAAAAUGGAAUGAUGAGACACAAUAGCACGACCGCUCUCGCUGCAAAGAACAGGAUGCUUAACAUUCUUCCGGUCACAAACAUAGCGAAUUGCUUGAACAACGGCAGAGGCAUAUUCUUCGAGGGUAUAAGCGACUGAGAGAUCCGAAUCAGCCGAUUUGGAUCCGUCAUAAUCGAUACC